GUUGCUUUUUUUUAUGAUUUGAUGUUUUGGUCCUCCACCCCCCAUUUGGUAUUGAAAGAUGUCUUACAUAUUGAGUAAGUGUGUGGCCUCUUUUGAAAAGUCCUCUUUAGUGAUUUGACAACAGCAAUUUAGAGGUUUCAAAGUUAUAUCUGCUAAUUGUAUACUAAAGACUGCCUUAAGUUUCAUAUUAGAUACUGUGUUUGGUAUGCAGCAUACAGAGAUCACUAAAUGAAGUCCUUAAUGCCAAAUAAAUGUUUCUCAGAAAAGCUAGCCAAAAAGUUAAUUGGGCCUUGUUUAUAUAUUCUCUCUCUCUCUUUCUCCCUCCCUCCCUCCCUCUCUCCUCUCCUCUCCUCCCUGCCUGACUUGAUAUUUGUACAAAAUUAUAUGUCAAUUACUGGCCAUAUAAAGAGGUUCCCCAGUGAGAAAUUAAACUGUUUAAUUUGAGAUGCACUAACCAAAAAAAAAAAAAAAAAAAGAAAGAAGAUAAAGUGCCUGUUUUUCCACACUCUCCGAGGGGGAGCUAUAUGGAGGUGCACGUAUAUUUAGGACAGAAAACAAAACUGACCAACUAACCAACCAACCAACCAACCAACUAACCAACCAACCAACCAGAAACCCAGAGGAGUAUAGUCCUGAGGAGGAAGCUUACCUGUGGCAACAAGCAGAAUAUUCUUUUUCUGUCAUACUGGGUUGGAAUAUGAAUGGAGUCAUGUACAAGGGAAAGCAAGGAUUCAUUUAAAUUUUAACUUGGAGUUGUGGAAAAGAAAAUUUGGAAAAGAUCACGAUCAGCCUGGCCAUGGCAGCUAUAUGGAGGGAAUAGACACUCUGAAACUGUUGGCGUGGGAGCCUGGGAUGAUGACUAAGGAAGAAUUUACUCUGUUCUAGUUUGCUUCCUGUUGUUACAAUAAAGUACCAUGACCAAAAGCAACCUGAAGAACUGUUUGACUUAAACUUCCAGGUCACAGUCUAUCAUUGAGGGAAGUUAGGGAAGGAACUCAAGGCGUUGUGCCAUUUGCUAACUUGCUCUCUGCCUCAUGCUCAAGCUUGCUUUCUUAUACAGCUCAGACCCAUUUGUCUAGGGAUGCUGUCAACUACAGUGGGGUAGGCCCUUUUACAUCAUUAAUCAAGAUAAUCUCGAUAAUCUAUCUCUCUCAGACAUAGCCAUGGGCAAGUCUGAUCCAGGCAGUUGUUCAGUUGAGGUUCAUGCUUCCCACUUGACUCUGUAGUGUUGACAGUUUACAGAACCCCUCUUACGCUGCCUGCUCUGUGUGAGGACAUCUGUGGCAGCUCGAAUGACUAGUUGUUACAUUCAGAUGUUCUUUUCUAGUGGUAGUCUACUUGGCUGCUCUGUAACAUUGGACACAGUUGAUUAUAUUUUCCUCAAAGCCUCUCUCUUGGCUUUGCCUUGUUUUCCCCACACCCCAUGAUUCAGUAUUCAGUUCUCUGUUCGAUCUGCUCUUUGUGCUCUGUGGUUGCAGCUGUAUUGAAGACAUUUUUCCACACUGAACUUUAGUCAUGUAUUCUUCUAAAACAAGUAUGUAUGUAUGUAUGUAUGUAUGUAUGGAUGGCAUGUGUGUUAAUACUUUGCCUGUAAGCAUGUCUGUGUACCAGUUCUUAAUUAUUGAAAGCUUUUUCUUUUUUUCUUUUUCAUUUUAUAUAAAUGGGUGUUUUAUCUUCAUGUAUGUUUGUACACCUGGUACUGGCAAGAGGCCAGAAGAUGGUGUUGGAUUCCCCUGAAACAAGUUACAGAUGACUGUGAGCUGCCAUGUUGGGUUCUGGGAAUCAAAUCCAGGUCCUCUGAAAGAGCAACAGGUGCCUCUAGCUACUGAACCAUCUCUCCAACCCCUGAAAGGUUUGUUCUUCCAGAUCCUCCCAGCCUCUCUACCCAGGCAGCUUUGUUCUUUUUUCUCUCUUUAGAAAUAGACAAACAACC
rnacentral:lncRNA from 1 species